GGAGAGAGAGUAACAUGUAUUUUUCUAGAAACACCCCUGGUAAGGCACUGGACCUUCUCUGAAAUGUACCCAGGAUAUCACUUGCAAACCUCAGACCCAACACAGGAGCCAAGAACUAGAAGGCCGCGAGUGAGGUUAUUUUUAAACAGUGAUGGCGUUUGUAUUCCUUAGGAAAUGUUUUGUAUGCAAUACAUUCCCAUACGUCCAGUGUACGUUAUACAGGUGGACUCCAAUAAAGACUCCAAGGGACAAUGGAAUAAACCAAGAGGAAGGACGGGGUUGUGGUGCUCAUGGACGAAAUAGAACUGGUUAAGGCCACAAAGGACAGAGACAGAGAGGAAAUCGCCUUCGACUUGGAUUUGAAGGCGGUCAAACCCUGUUUUACCUUGUUAUUCCAAAAUAUGGAUACAAUGAGGGCCACAGACCUCAGUACCAGCCCUUAAGUCUAAACAGACUUCAGUACCUAAUAGAUCUGGGUAGAAUAGAUCCCACUCAACCUAUUGACCUAACCCAACUAGUCAGUGGCAGAGCGGUCACAGUGCAGCCACUGAAGAGGGACUAUGGUGUGCAGCUAGUGGAGGAGGUAGGACCCUUUGGGACCAUAUGUUUGUGCAGAGAUUGGUGUGGCUAAAUAAUGAAAAUCCUCUAUUCAGUACCUCUUCUAAACUGCACUUAUCUCUGGGUUUUGCUGAACUGUCCUGUGUAAGCCUGUACCUUUCUUCAUGAGGGGACAGCCCAUUCCAAAACAUAUGCUUCCAGGAGAAGACGUGGUUCCAUACGACACACUGAACCAGCAAAGACCCAAAAAGCCAGUACGGCUAUGUUUUACCACACAUUACCAAGGAUGAACAGUUCCACAUGCUGACCACACGCAAAGACCCCCGGCAGAUUGUCUUACUCCAGGUUGGGUGGUAAACAUGGCUGAAAAGAAGAUUCUGGAGCCCACAGAUGAAAAGCUACUGAGUUAUUAUCGCUCUUGAGGAAAGCAAUGGGGGUUUUGUAUGCAAAUUAAAACAAUGUCCCCAAAAUACAACAUGAAACUUUGUCAAAUCUUUGUCCCUUUUAUGUCACUUGCCAAACUGCUCUCGACUCUGUUGUCCGUUAAUGGCAGCUGACUAAACUGUUUCACGGAAAACCCACUGCAGAAGUUUUAGCACCUAUCCACUACGAAGCUGAUUUGGAAACAAACUUAAAAAGCAGAUUGGUUGGUCCAGUUGUUUUUCAUGUAUAACUGAAAGCAAGUGAACAGCAGUCUUCUCAAAGCAAGUGAACAGCAGUCUUCUCAAAGCAAGUGAACAGCAGUCUCCUCAAAGCAAGUGGCUUCACAUCAAAGGUUGGCAAGCAUGCUUGCUUCAUUUUAGUCAAUAGCCUGACUAAAGAUUUCACAUAUGUCUGUGUCAAAUACCAAAAUAAAGAAGUACAAUUUGUUUCGACUAGAA